AAAAUAACUUAUGCAAACAAAGCACAAAGCAACACUAGAAUCUUAUUUAAUAUAGUUUGUGACCUCACUAUAGUUGGCUUAGUAAACCAAUGUCCCUUGCAUAUACUCAGAAUCACAUAAAAUAUGCUUUGUUUCUUGUUGGUCACAAGCGAAUGUUUUCCCAAAUUGCCAAAACCAAAAUUAUUAUACUAUCUUUGUACUUAUUCAAACUAAGUCAUGGAUGCUAUUAUUUUCAUAUUAGAAAUCCGAUAAUACUUAAGAAACAGAUAAAGAAAGAGCAAGCAACUUUCCACAUUUAAGAAUAUUACAAUAUAUUGGAAGUGGAUUCAACAAAAUCACAAUGAU
rnacentral:lncRNA from 1 species